CUUGCUCAGCCUCUCACAGGGCAGCAGCUCUCGUUUCGGUUUAAUCAAAUUUCCCACCCACCCUCCUGCCCCCUCUUGCCCUGCGUGACCUGCGCAUGUGCUCAAGCAAGGCCUCAUUUGCAGCACAUAAAAAUCAGCACAGAGCCUCCAUGCCACUUAAGGCCCAAGGUUUUGUGCCACUCUAGAACAGAAAUCUGGAAUUGCUUAAGUGUGACAAGGCCUCUGAGUCAGCUGCAGCUCAGAAGUAGGUUUGCUGCAGGCUCUUCUGCCUCUUGUGUAACCCUGCAAACUAAUUCCUUGAGCAUGCUAAGAAGUGUGAGUGGCUUACAGUGUCCCUUCUUUUGGGGAGUUUCACCUUAUACAGUACCUCUCCUGUCAAAAGAACAGAAUGCAGAAGCUAAAAUAGAGAUUGGAAACAACAGAGCCUCCUCAGAAAACCCUUGGUUGAUUGAAUUGUCUGAAUUAACAUUUACACGACCUCUUUGUGUCCUUCAUUGAACACGCUUGUUGAUCAGAAUUAGAGUAAGCUGCGUUCAAAGUGUUAAAUCCAGUCAUGCAUUGAUGCUACUGAGAGAGGGAAAAAGAGGAGUGCAUUAGAGAAGAAUAUGAGACAUGAAGCUGUGAGAAAAAAAAAGGAUGCCUACCAAUAGAAACUAAGAGUCUGUGUUGAGGAGGUAAGCAUGGCCACAUUUGGAUUGCUAUUUUCAAAUUACAGAAUCUGAGUGGAAUUACAGUAGUUAAUGUGUGUCCA
rnacentral:lncRNA from 1 species